UGCCGAGUGGACGAAUAGCAAGUCACCUGGCUCUGAACCAGGAGGGUGCAGGUGCGAAUCCUGCCUCGGCAU
rnacentral:tRNA from 2 species